GCCCUUGUAGCUCAGUCGGUAGAGCGUAUCCAUGGUAAGGAUAAGGUCACCAGUUCGAUUCUGGUCGAGGGCU
rnacentral:tRNA from 1 species